AUUGAACGCUGGCGGCAUGCUUUACACAUGCAAGUCGAACGGCAGCGCGGGCUUCGGCCUGGCGGCGAGUGGCGAACGGGUGAGUAAUGCAUCGGAACGUGCCCAGUAGUGGGGGAUAGCCCGGCGAAAGCCGGAUUAAUACCGCAUACGACCUGAGGGUGAAAGCGGGGGGCCGAAAGGCCUCGCGCUAUUGGAGCGGCCGAUGUCGGAUUAGCUAGUUGGUGGGGUAAAGGCUUACCAAGGCGACGAUCCGUAGCUGGUCUGAGAGGACGACCAGCCACACUGGGACUGAGACACGGCCCAGACUCCUACGGGAGGCAGCAGUGGGGAAUUUUGGACAAUGGGGGCAACCCUGAUCCAGCCAUGCCGCGUGCGGGAAGAAGGCCUUCAGGUUGUAAACCGCUUUUGUUCGGGAAGAAAUCCUCUGGGCUAAUACCCCGGGGGGAUGACGGUACCGGAAGAAUAAGCACCGGCUAACUACGUG
rnacentral:rRNA from 1 species